GACGAACGCUGGCGGCGUGCUUAACACAUGCAAGUCGAACGGAAGGGCCCUGCUUUUGUGGGUUGCUUGAUUGGCGAACGGGUGAGUAACACGUGUGUAACCUGCCCUUGACUUUGGGAUAACUUCACGAAACUGGGGCUAUUACCGGAUAGGAGCUCCUGCUGCAUGUUGGGGGUUGGAAAGUUUCGGCGGUUGGGGAUGGACUCGCGGCUUAUCAGCUUGUUGGUGGGGUAGUGGCUUACCAAGGCUUUGACGGGUAGCCGGCCUGAGAGGGUGAACGGCCACAUGGGGACUGAGAUACGGCCCAGACUCCUACGGGAGGCAGCAGGGGGGAAUAUUGCAGAAUGGGCGGAAGCCUGAUGCAGCAACGCCGGGUGCGGGAUGACGGCCUUCGGGUUGUAAACCGCUUUCGCCGGUGACGAAGCGUGAGUGACGGUAAUGGGUAAAGAAGCACCGGCUAACUACGUG
rnacentral:rRNA from 1 species